CCUACGGGGUGCAGCAGUGGGGAAUAUUGGACAAUGGGCGAAAGCCUGAUCCAGCCAUGCCGCGUGUGUGAAGAAGGCCUUCGGGUUGUAAAGCACUUUCAGUGGGGAAGAAAGCCUUGGGGCUAAUACCCUCGAGGAAGGACAUCACCCACAGAAGAAGCACCGGCUAACUCCGUGCCAGCAGCCGCGGUAAUACGGAGGGUGCGAGCGUUAAUCGGAAUUACUGGGCGUAAAGCGCGCGUAGGCGGUCUGAUAAGCCGGUUGUGAAAGCCCCGGGCUCAACCUGGGAACGGCAUCCGGAACUGGCAGGCUAGAGGGCAGGAGAGGAAGGUAGAAUUCCCGGUGUAGCAGUGAAAUGCGUAGAGAUCGGGAGGAAUACCAGUGGCGAAGGCGGCCUUCUGGACUGACACUGACGCUGAGGUGCGAAAGCGUGGGUAGCAAACAGGAUUAGAUACCCUUGUAGUC
rnacentral:rRNA from 1 species